rnacentral:rRNA from 1 species
AUGGCGAGGCCGAAGCGGCGCAGGGCGAGCCCUAGCCACCCGUACCGCGGCAUCCGGCAGCGGGCGUGGGGGAGGUGGUCGGCGGAAAUCCGCGACCCCAUCAAGGGCGCUCGCGUCUGGAUCGGCACCUUCGACACGGCCGCGGAGGCCGCGCGCGCCUACGACGCCGAGGCGCGGCGCAUCCACGGUAGAAAGGCCAGGACCAACUUCCCUGCAGCGCCGGCGGCGCCGUGCAGCCAUCGUCCUGGGCCGUCUUGUUGCAGCACCGAUGACGGCGCCGACAACGUGGCCCGUGCGACGGAGAGCGCCUCGUCGUCGUCCAAGCAUGUCCACGGGAUUGCGCCUUCCGACGCGCGCAUACUGCUGGAAUGCUGCUCGGACGACGUCAUGGAGAGCCUCCUCGCCGGCUCCGACAUGGCCGGCAACAUGGACCUCCCGGAGCUUCCGGUUCCCGAGCUAACAAUAACACAUGCAUCCGGUAGCAAUUUUGUUAAAAACACUUUGUAUGAAACAUACACGUAA